GUAGGUGGCAAGCGUUGUCCGGAAUUAUGGGCGUAAAGCGCGCGCAGGCGGGCCCGUUUAAGUCUGAUGUGAAAGCCACGGGCUCAACCGUGGAGGGUCAUUGGAAACUGGGGGACUUGAGUACAGAAGAGGAAAGCGGAAUUCCACGUGUAGCGGUGAAAUGCGUAGAGAUGUGGAGGAACACCAGUGGCGAAGGCGGCUUUCUGGUCUGUAACUGACGCUGAGGCGCGAAAGCGUGGGGAGCAAACAGGAUUAGAUACCCUGGUAGUCCACGCCGUAAACGAUGAGUGCUAAGUGUUAGGGGGUUUCCGCCCCUUAGUGCUGCAGCUAACGCAUUAAGCACUCCGCCUGGGGAGUACGGCCGCAAGGCUG
rnacentral:rRNA from 1 species